GACGUAGGGCGCGAGCGUUGUCCGGAUUUAUUGGGCGUAAAGAGCACGCAGGCGGUUUGGCAAGUCGGAUGUGAAAACCCGAAGCUCAACUUCGGGCCUGCAUCCGAAACUGCCCGACUAGAGGUAGGUAGGGGAGAUCGGAAUUCCUGGUGUAGCGGUGGAAUGCGCAGAUAUCAGGAGGAACACCGGUGGCGAAGGCGGAUCUCUGGGCCAUAACUGACGCUGGAGGAGCGAAAGCAUGGGGAGCGAACAGG
rnacentral:rRNA from 1 species